AAAAAGUCAUGAAGGGAACAUGUCCUGCUGAAGUGUCGGUCACAGAGAGCUGGAAGGGCUGAAAUCCAGCACCGGUAACAGUAAGGAUGCUCAUCCCUGAGAACUGCUAUCCGAACGGCCUUUCUCUAAAAAGGUUCCAGUAGGUGGUGUCGGACAGACCCAUUGUCCGUUAACAAAAGCGGGUUCAAAGUGGUUGUCCAGUUUUCCUGGGCAGCAAACAGGGUGGUACCGCGGGUCCCUCUCGUCCCUGGC
rnacentral:ncRNA from 1 species